CAGAUAGGCCAUGUGUCUGUUCUUGGUGACUUCAUCAGCCGUAGACUCAACAUCCACACCGUGGACCAAUCGGGAGGCUCCACACAUAUGGCCAUGGUCCAUGGAUGUGUACUAAAUGUUACCAGAGUUUUAGCAGCACUUCUGGAAAACAGGUUUGAUGAGGCCACAGCCAGAGUGAAGGUCCCUGACAAACUGCAGGUGCAUCUUCAAGGUUUUGUGUGACAAGAGUGUUGAGCAUGUCAGCUAUCAUGAUGUCAGUGAAAUAAAUAUUUGGUUAUGAAACUUAAUCGUUAUAUGACUUUCUUUUAUUUCUUUGUAACAUAAAGGUUAAGAAUGAAAGAGCCGUUUUGAAAUGCUCUCUCAAAAAAUGAAGAUAUAGAACAAUCUUCAAAACACCCAUCCAACACUUUCGUUCGGCCAGAAUUUGAAUUUAUUUCGUCUAUUUAAUUUUUUUUUAAUGUUGCUAAAUUUAAAGUGUACAAUAUUUACUGUUCUAAUGCAAACAAGAAGGACUAAAUAAUAAAUCAUAAUAUCGUAAUUUCAAUUUGUC